UACGGGGGGGGCAAGCGUUGUUCGGAAUUACUGGGCGUAAAGGGUUCGUAGGUGGCCUACUAAGUCAGACGUGAAAUCCCUCAGCUUAACUGGGGAACUGCGUCUGAUACUGGGGGGCUUGAGGACAGGAGAGGAACGCGGAAUUCCGGGUGUAGCGGUGGAAUGCGUAGAGAUCCGGAAGAAUACCGGUGGCGAAGGCGGCCUGCUGGGCAGUGGCUGACACUGAGGCGCGACAGCGUGGGGAGCAAACAGG
rnacentral:rRNA from 1 species